CCCUUAGAUGUUCUGGGCCGCACGCGUGCUACACUGAGUGGAUCAGCGGGUCAGGUUGCGCGAAAGCGUUUCCUAAUCUUUAAAUCCGCUCGUGAUGGGGAUUGACGGUUGCAAUUUUCUGUCAUGAACGAGGAACACCUUGUAAGCGCGGGUCAUCAUCCCGCGCUGAAUACGUCCCUGCCCUUUGUACACACCGCCCGUCGCUCCUACCGAUUGAAUGUUCCGGUGAGCUCUUCGGACUGCGCGGUCUGCAGUUUCUGCGUUCCGUGCGGAAAGUUGCGCAAACCUUAACAUUUAGAGGAAGGAGAAGUCGUAACA
rnacentral:rRNA from 1 species